CCAAAGAGAUGCGGCCUGGGUAUGGCUAAAGGAGAGAAUGCUUCCCUGGCGGCCGGGACGAGCGGCCUGGUAAUGUUGUUGUGCUUUGUGGGUUCCGGUAGUGGAAGCGAGGGGGUGGGGUGUUUCUUGCCAGGCCUGGGCGCUCCCGUCCGAAACCGUGGCGUUUGGACAGUAGAGCCGAUAGGUCUCGAGACAGGGAUUUCAGUUACCUGUUAAUGGGUGCUUGCAAAGCUGCGCAGGCGCACACUGCUUUGGUUGGUGGUCUUAGAUACACGUUACUCUUCUAAGUACUGGCAGCUACGGUGAGCUCAAGUCCUCGCUGGGUGCAGAGGCGGUGCUUACAGCUGUUGACCCAUUUAGAUCAUAAAAAGUAGCCAGACUCUGUUUUGCUCAGGGAAUGAAGCGAUUCUUCGCACACAGACAGCCUUAACAUACUAAGAUGCACUGAUGAAUAUAUAUUCUGCAUAUUCAUCGCGAGCCCAGUUCUGGCUUUCAUUUGAGAGUUAACUUCGGUCUGUAAAGUCAUUUCGACUCAAUUAACUCAGAUAAAUGACUAGGUAAGACUGGGUCUGAGUGGAAACAGGCCAGGGAUUGAUAGCAGAUGGGCACAAGGGAAUCUUUCAGUAUGGUAGAAAUGUCCCCAAACAGGAUCGUGGGGAUGGUUUUAACAAAAAAAUCAUUGAACACUUGAAAGGGAUGAAUUUUAAAAUAAAGUUAUAUGUAAAUAAAGCUAUUAAAAAAAAUAGGCAAAGCUGCUGGGCCUUACUUUUUCAAUUGAUGUUUUAAUGCUGAAUUGGAAAUUCUCCAGUUUCUCUUCAGGCUGCCCGAGUAACAGACCAAGAUUAAACCUUUAUCCUAAGACAGAACUGAAAAUUGUGAACUUUCCUAUUGCCAUUGUGGAGCCCAGCAUGGCAUACAGCUCAAUGUUCCAUUCUUACCAUAGAAAUACAUACCCAUCUGUUUUAAGUAGUUCACACUUGUGGGGACUCCAUCCCUACACAUAUCUUACCUUCAAGAUACUGUAUCUCCAACACAGGAAUGGGAGGUUAUAAUCCAUGUAUGUAUAAUUUGUCAAAAUACAUUUCACUGUCAUGUAUAACUAAAAAGAACA
rnacentral:lncRNA from 1 species